rnacentral:rRNA from 1 species
AACGAACGCUGGCGGCAGGCCUAACACAUGCAAGUCGAGCGGACCUUUCGGGGUCAGCGGCGGACGGGUGAGUAACGCGUGGGAAUAUGCCCUUCUCUACGGAAUAGUCCUGGGAAACUGGGGGUAAUACCGUAUACGCCCUUUGGGGGAAAGAUUUAUCGGGGAAGGAUUAGCCCGCGUUGGAUUAGGUAGUUGGUGGGGUAAUGGCCUACCAAGCCGACGAUCCAUAGCUGGUUUGAGAGGAUGAUCAGCCACACUGGGACUGAGACACGGCCCAGACUCGUACGGGAGGCAGCGGUGGGGAAUCUUAGACAAUGGGGGCAGCCCUGAUCUAGCCAUGCCGCGUGAGUGAUGAAGGCCUUAGGGUUGUAAAGCUCUUUCAGCUGGAAAGAUAAUGACGGUACCAGCAGAAGAAGCCCCGGCUAACUCCGUG